GACGAACUUUGGCGGCGUGCUUAACACAUGCAAGUCGAACGAUGAUGCCCAGCUUGCUGGGUGGAUUAGUGGCGAACGGGUGAGUAACACGUGAGUAACCUGCCCCUGACUCUGGGAUAAGCGUUGGAAACGACGUCUAAUACUGGAUAUGAUCACUGGCCGCAUGGUCUGGUGGUGGAAAGAUUUUUUGGUUGGGGAUGGACUCGCGGCCUAUCAGCUUGUUGGUGAGGUAACGGCUCACCAAGGCGACGACGGGUAGCCGGCCUGAGAGGGUGACCGGCCACACUGGGACUGAGACACGGCCCAGACUCCUACGGGAGGCAGCAGUGGGGAAUAUUGCACAAUGGGCGAAAGCCUGAUGCAGCAACGCCGCGUGAGGGAUGACGGCCUUCGGGUUGUAAACCUCUUUUAGUAGGGAAGAAGCGAAAGUGACGGUACCUGCAGAAAAAGCACCGGCUAACUACGUGCCAGCAGCCGCGGUAAUACGUAGGGUGCAAGCGUUGUCCGGAAUUAUUGGGCGUAAAGGGCUCGUAGGCGGUUUGUCGCGUCUGCUGUGAAAUCCCGAGGCUCAACCUCGGGCUUGCAGUGGGUACGGGCAGAUUAGAGUGCGGUAGGGGAGAUUGGAAUUCCUGGUGUAGCGGUGGAAUGCGCAGAUAUCAGGAGGAACACCGAUGGCGAAGGCAGAUCUCUGGGCCGUAACUGACGCUGAGGAGCGAAAGCAUGGGGAGCGAACAGGAUUAGAUACCCUGGUAGUCCAUGCCGUAAACGUUGGCGCUAGAUGUAGGGACCUUUCCACGGUUUCUGUGUCGUAGCUAACGCAUUAAGCGCCCCGCCUGGGGAGUACGGCCGCAAGGCUAAAACUCAAAGGAAUUGACGGGGGCCCGCACAAGCGGCGGAGCAUGCGGAUUAAUUCGAUGCAACGCGAAGAACCUUACCAAGGCUUGACAUACACCGGAAACGGCCAGAGAUGGUCGCCCCCUUGUGGUCGGUGUACAGGUGGUGCAUGGUUGUCGUCAGCUCGUGUCGUGAGAUGUUGGGUUAAGUCCCGCAACGAGCGCAACCCUCGUUCUAUGUUGCCAGCGGGUUAUGCCGGGGACUCAUAGGAGACUGCCGGGGUCAACUCGGAGGAAGGUGGGGAUGACGUCAAAUCAUCAUGCCCCCUAUGUCUUGGGCUUCACGCAUGCUACAAUGGCCGGUACAAAGGGCUGCGAUACCGUAAGGUGGAGCGAAUCCCAAAAAGCCGGUCUCAGUUCGGAUUGAGGUCUGCAACUCGACCUCAUGAAGUCGGAGUCGCUAGUAAUCGCAGAUCAGCAACGCUGCGGUGAAUACGUUCCCGGGCCU
rnacentral:rRNA from 1 species